rnacentral:rRNA from 1 species
GACGAACGCUGGCGGCGUGCUUAACACAUGCAAGUCGAGCGGUAAGGCCCUUUCGGGGGUACACGAGCGGCGAACGGGUGAGUAACACGUGGGUGACCUGCCCUCAGCUCUGGGAUAAGCCUGGGAAACCGGGUCUAAUACCGGAUAUGACUCCAUGACGCAUGUUGUGGGGUGGAAAGCCUUGUGCGACUGAGGAUGGGCCCGCGGCCUAUCAGCUUGUUGGUGGGGUGAUGGCCUACCAAGGCGACGACGGGUAGCCGGCCUGAGAGGGCGACCGGCCACACUGGGACUGAGACACGGCCCAGACUCCUACGGGAGGCAGCAGUGGGGAAUCUUGCGCAAUGGGCGAAAGCCUGACGCAGCGACGCCGCGUG